rnacentral:rRNA from 1 species
AUUGAACGCUGGCGGCAUGCUUUACACAUGCAAGUCGAACGGCAGCGCGGGGGCAACCCUGGCGGCGAGUGGCGAACGGGUGAGUAAUGCAUCGGAACGUAUCCUGUAAUGGGGGAUAACCAGUCGAAAGAUUGGGUAAUACCGCAUACGCUCGAGAGAGGAAAGUGGGGGAUCGCAAGACCUCACGUUAUAGGAGCGGCCGAUGUCUGAUUAGCUAGUUGGUGGGGUAAAGGCCUACCAAGGCGACGAUCAGUAGCUGGUCUGAGAGGAUGAUCAGCCACACUGGGACUGAGACACGGCCCAGACUCCUACGGGAGGCAGCAGUGGGGAAUUUUGGACAAUGGGCGAAAGCCUGAUCCAGCCAUGCCGCGUGCGGGAAGGAGGCCUUCGGGUUGUAAACCGCUUUAGUCUAGGAAAAAGGGGUGCGAGGUUAAUACCUUCGUGCUUUGAUGGUACUGGAAGAAUAAGCACCGGCUAACUACGUGCCAGCAGCCGCGGUAACAC